AACGAGCGCUGGCGGCAGGCUUAACACAUGCAAGUCGAGCGCCCCGCAAGGGGAGCGGCAGACGGGUGAGUAACGCGUGGGAAUCUACCCAUCUCUACGGAUAACGCAUGGAAACGUGUGCUAAUACCGUAUACGUCCUUCGGGAGAAAGAUUUAUCGGAGAUGGAUGAGCCCGCGUUGGAUUAGCUAGUUGGUGGGGUAAAGGCCUACCAAGGCGACGAUCCAUAGCUGGUCUGAGAGGAUGAUCAGCCACACUGGGACUGAGACACGGCCCAGACUCCUACGGGAGGCAGCAGGGGGGAAUAUUGGACAAUGGGCGCAAGCCUGAUCCAGCCAUGCCGCGUGAGUGAUGAAGGCCCUAGGGUUGUAAAGCUCUUUCACCGGUGAAGAUAAUGACGGUAACCGGAGAAGAAGCCCCGGCUAACUUCGUGCCAGCCGCCGCGGUAACAC
rnacentral:rRNA from 1 species